UGUCGGCAUCAACCCAGCAGUGCCCGUUCACAGAUGCUCCUGGGCAGCUCUGGGGUUGCAUUAUCCCAUGCACAGUGUUUUAUUAACCAUCCCAGUUAAUUUUAUUAACUCCUUACCCUGGCCACAGAGGGAAGAGCCAGGAUGGCGAGGGGCGGUGGAGCAGAAGGGAACGGGCUUUGUCCCACUGCCCAGCCCAGGGGCGGUGCAAACAGGGCUCCCAGUGCUGAUGCUGCCGCAGCCCUCUCUCCUCGCCCAGUGUUUGCCAGUGUGGGGGGAAAGCCGUCCUUUGGGGGCUUGUGAGCACCCAGUGCCAUGUGGGGCCUGCUGCUCUGCGGGGGCUGGCUGCUGGCCACCGGCUACCUGGCAGGUGCUGCGGGCGGCUGCUGGCACCAGUGCUGCCCAGGCAGGAACAACACCUGCUGGGCCUCAGGCAGCCAUACGGCACGCUGCUACUGCGACUCGUACUGCGAGAGGACAGGUGACUGCUGUGAGGACUACCGUGCUGUGUGCCGCCAUGCCGUGGUGGGCUGUGCGGUGGGGCCCUGGGGGCGGUGGAGCAGGUGCAGCUCCCUGUGUGGGGUUGGCAGCAAGGCCCGCAGCCGCCAGGUCACCGUCCCGCCCCGGCACGGAGGAGAGCCCUGUCCCGACCUCAAGCAGCGCCGUGGCUGCCUGGGCGAGCACCCAACCUGUGAGACAGCCAAAGGUAACGCGGGUCCCACAGGGAUGGCCACCUCCCUUGUGCGUGACUGUCCCUGCUGCCCAUCCCGUGGUGUCUUUAACCAUCCAUGUCCCCCACCCUGGCUGCUCCUCUGCCAGAAGUGGCCAAGAUAUUACCUGACUCCAUCAGCCAGGACUUCAGGGAUCCCUGGCGGAGAGAUGGGCAGCUGCUGCCGGAGGAACUGUCUGGGUAAGGCCCCCCUGCCGUGGGCAGGCCUGGACCCGCCGGCUGCACCGGGACAAGCGGGUGUGUGUCAAGUGCCGGGGAGAAACAUCCCACCGCCGUCCUCAUUGCACCGGACAUGGGCUGCAAGGAGCCAGGACAUUUUGGGUGGCUGCUUCCGUGGCAGGGUGCCAGGGCUCGUGGGUGCAGGAGGGGCUGCAGGAGGUCUGUGUCUGCCCCCCACCAGCUCUCAUCUUUGUGUAGUAUCCCCCAAAGAAGGCUUGCCACUCACCCGUGGAGCUGACUCCCCAUGUUUUCCAUUAAGUAUUUUGUUGAAGAAUGGGAAGAAAACCCUGCUUAUAAAGAUUAAAAAUAAGGGAAUCGCUAAAGUAUGGUGAUUAAUGGAGGAAGAACAUCGUGCUGAGGUUAAAUCUAUGUGAGAUGAUGAUGCAGCAGUGAUAUGGGAGGACGACACGAUGAUGUCAUGCUCAGCAACGAGCUGCCAUUGGUAGGAGCAUCCUCCCUCUGUGUGUUCAGGCUGGCCCGACUGCAGUAUGGGGUGAGCCAUGGAGGGCAGCGUGGCUGCAUACUGUGGUUUCCAGAGAGAAAUUAAAUGUAGGCACCCAAGGUCUGCAUGUGGGUGAUGGUGCUGGUGCGUGUCCGGGUACAGCUGCAGGCCUAGGCCACCGCACUGGAGGGAGCGGGACUGGGCUGGGUGAUGCUGGGCUGUGCUGGUGCUAUUCCCCACUUCUUGCCUGACGUGAUGUGGCCUUGCUGGUGGGGUCCCUGCUCCAGCCUUGGCCAGAGUUACGCACAGCCAAGACACUGUGCUGGUGGCUGCAGCACCUGCCUGCAUCCCCAAACCACCCCCUGGCUGACUUCACCCCCACCCAUGCCAGGCACGGCACCCGGUGCUCAUCCUGCAGGGAUCACCUUUAUUCAGACACGGCCGCCUCCAGUGAACAGCAGUGCCUGAGCCCCAUGCUGCCACAGCCGAGACAUCAGGGGAGUUCUGAGCCAUUGAAGACCCCCAGGGAACAGGCCAGAGGAGAUGUGGGUGGCAGCAGAGGGCUGCUGUGCCCGCACCACGAGUAUCUAUCCAUGAGGCUUGGUGGGAUGACCCACUGGGCCAGGGCUGGCCCGCGCCGGGCUAGCCAAAAGCCCACGGGCAGGCAGCAGAAAGACCAAGGUGGGCACAGCUCCUGGUCUGGGAAAGGAGGUGGGAGAGGGCAGCUCAUGGCACUGCCCUCCCAGCCUCCUCUUAUGGGACCCUGGCUGCAGGUGGGCUGCCAGUGCCCAUCCCCGGGGGGGGUGGAGCAGGCUCUCCCCGCCCCUGCAAUGGGGAACGUGCCUGUCCCAUAGCCCCAGGCCCGCUCCAAGCCCUGCCGUUCAGGGACGCCACAGGUACUCCACGCAAGCUGGGCCUCGAAGGCCGUUGACUCUCCCUUAAAAUAGGCGCCUCCCCGCCCGCCCUGGCCCCGCCUCCCGCUCCCCUCGGACCCGCCCUCUGCAUGGCCACGACUCCCGCCUCCUCUCGGCCCCGCCCCGCCGCGCAGGUGCUUUGCCACACGCACCCGAACUGCGGGAGGCCCGCCCGCCCUCGAAGUGCCGGACCCCAGAGAGCGCUGCGGGGGGACAAGGCCGCGCAACGGGUUUAUUUUGUGCUGCCGCACACAAAUCUAUAAAACUUUUAAAGAGGAAAAAGCCGGGUUUGGGUGAAUUUCCCUCCGGCGGGCCCGGCCGCACGGCCCCGUUGCCACAGCGACGGCCCCUCGUCCCCGCCUGGGCGUCUUCACCAUGGCAACGGCUCCCGUACGGAUGGGCGGGAGGGUGGACCAAUCACAGCGCGGGCGCCGCGCUCCCAUUGGUAGGAUCGCCUCGCCGCUCUUCCAUUGGUCUGAUCACCUCGCGGGGGUGGGGCGUGGUAGGGAUUGACUACGGAGACGGGCCAAUGGAGCGGGGAUGCCCAAGGAGGUUGGCGGGCGGCGGGGCAGUGGCCAGUGGGUGCGCGGCGUGGGCGGGACGGGGCGCUCCGGAAGCGGAGGGGCCUGGGGGAAAAUGCUGGCCAGCCGCCGCCAGACCAUUGUGAAGCAGUUGGACCGCGUCAAGGGUCACCUUCAGUGGCACGGGAAGAAAAUCCUGCUCUGUUGAUUCCGCUUGCUGCUCAGGUAGUGGCAGGGGGGAGUGGGGAGGCACGUUUGCAAGUUCAGGGACGCUACAGGUACUCCAUGUCAAAGCCGCAGAAAAAGCAAAUUUGCUGGUACUGCAGAAAAGCUGAUGAGGAGUUGCAGUUAACGGAGCGUGCUUCCUGCCUGAGUUGGUCCCUUGGCAGUUAGGAAUGUUUUCCUUUGGGGUCAAAACCCGAACUUUUAUCUAGGAUAAAUUAAGAACUGCCUGUUACCUUUGUUAGGGUCAAGCGUUUCUCUUCUGUUUGUUCAUACUUAUUUUAUGGGCGACUUGGAAACAGCCUUUUAUUUUUUGUGCAUAACUAAAUUUUUACUAGUCUGUGGUGUCAUUAUAGUUAAUGUUUGAGCACCUAGAUGCCAGUGGAAAUGUAAUGAACGAAACGUGAUGGAAACUGGUGUGUCAUUUGAUUUUUAUUUUUAUUUUUUUUAUUGGAGUGUUAAUGUUUUUCUGUGUCUCAAUCCACAUUGUUCCGUGGAGCCUUUAUUCUAAGACUUUUAAGUAAAAAAAGUUUGUCCUUCCAGAAAAGGACUGGUCCCUCGUAGGACUGAGGUGUAGACUUAGAGGGUCAUGAUCAGAAUUAAAGCCAAAUUUCACUUGAUGUUGCUGCUGUUGGUCUUCACUUUUGUUAAUAUCCAUGCAGCUCCCUCAUGGUGGGAGCUCUGAAUCAUAUUUCUUUUUUUUCAGUCUUUAACACAUUUUUCCCCCACAAGGGGAGGCUACAUUUAAAAGUUAAUUAGUUUCCUCCCAGACGUGCCAGUGACUAAAAUUGAGUUGUGCUUAUUAAAACCAGAAAAAUGACACUGCUCUUAGAGAUCUGGACUAUUUCUGAACACGUCUUUGUCACAUGCAAAUGUCAUUGGGAUGCGCUGACAGGACAAUAUGCUGAGACAGGGAUGAUCUCUGCCAGACAAAAAAGAUGCAAGGUCCUGGGGUUUUUGUCUGUUUGUUUUCUUUUGUGGGGGUGGGGUGUGUGUGUGCGCUUUCAAAAACAGUGUGAUGUUGACUGCAGGUGUCAGCCUGCAGAGCUCUCUUGCUGCCUGAUCUCUCCUUUUCUUUGUCUCUCCUCUUUCGUGGCUACAACUUUCACUUGGAUAAUUUUAGAAGAGCAAUUAAGCGACUUGCCUGUGUAAAAGUGCUGGUAAUACCAGGAAGGUAAGUGCUUGAACCGGUAGUGAAUAACUUGGCUACAAGUAGAAUUUCUGAAGGAAGAAGAACAGCUGCAGCAGGAAGCAAAUCGCAAGUUCCCCCAAAAUUGUGUGUCUCCAACACGUCAAAGUUUAAUUGCCAAAUGUUGUUUGGCAGUAUGUUCCAAGUGACUGUUUUUGGUAAACAUAAACUUUCAGGAAAUUCAGGGUUAUGUGUGGCGAAAGAAGUCCCUCUGUCUGUGUGUCCUGCUCCGUAAAUGUCCGGUGGCAGGGCUGUUGUUCCCUACUCUCAGUAUGGCUACGGUAGCACUCGAUAUUUAGACCCAACAGACGGGUUUAGGAGUGGAAGAAGAAUGCCUGUUUUCUGUAAGGGCUAUGAACGCUGACCCUUUUCUCCCUCUGCUGCUUUCCUGUGCACCAGGUGAAGCUGUUUUAUUUUUCUCCCUUGAUGCGGGUUUGCAAUUUGCGUUGCUAGGUUUUUGUGGAGUUCUCGUUGUGGAUCACUUCUGCUGUGGCCAAGUGUCAAGGUGCGGUUUUCAGUUCGCAGUUUCAGAAACCACAUGCCCUGAAAUGGGUGCAGGUGAAGCUGACCUUGGGCGUGCAGCCUGCGCUCACUGGGACGCUCAGGGGCUCCUCAUCAAAGCAGCCGGGUGUGCGCGGGCACCCGCAGGGUUGCAGUCUGGUCUGAGAGCGUGCUGUGCUUUUGCUGCUGGGAGGUGGAAGUGAGCGUGUGCCCGGUAAAUCCAAGGGCAUCCAAAAGCUGCGAGGGACCCUGAGCAGGUUUGGUGGCACAAUGGCAGUUUGAAAAGAUCUUGACUGUUGGGAAAAACGGCCUGGAAAGAAAUCACUGUUUUUUUGCAAGGAGGCAGUUUAGAAGGAGAGGUAGGUUGCUGUAGCCUUUAACUUGGGAUGUGUAGGGUGAGGAAACCCUGUCUCUAUGUAGGCUGAAGAAAAUGUGCAUAGACGCCUGUGUCUGUCGCAGUGUGUCUCUGCGUGUAUCUGGGAAAGUGGCUCUAGGGCAACUAAAGCUGCCAGUGAGUCAAAAAAAGACAGGUUUGUCUGAAAAAUGCAAAAGCUCUAGUGUCCCGUAUCAACAACUGUGCUAGAGAUGAAGCCAAAUACUUUUUCCUCCGCUUGGCUGUAGUCCUUGCAAACCUCCACAAAAGAGGGGAGCUUUAGAUUCCUAACCAGCUUUACGCUAAAGGGUUUUUUCCUCUCUUGGCAGAACGUCAACUGCCAGCGUUUCUUCUGCGGUCGCCCUUUCUUCUGCCACGACAGUACAGGACAGAUGGAAAGGAUCCGGAGUGCUCUGCGAGUAUGUGGCUUUGACACGAAGCAUCAGCAGCCUCAUAACUGCUGAUGGCGAGUCCUGAUGUGGUUUUGGUGAGUUGUGGCUUCCAAUAACGUCCUUUGUCUGUAACCUGCAGCGUGUCAUUUUGACUUUGCUUGGAAAGAGGUUUUUCCAAAAUGGGACUGUUGUUCAUUCAAAGCAGUUGCAUUUCAUGGAAUUCCUAUCAGCAACAAGCCUUUGUGCUCCCUUCUAAAAAAGGAAAAGAAAAAAAAUUUCCUUCCAAAGGCCCAAGCACAGCACAUUUUCCAACAGUUUGGUGGCAUCGCCGGUCUUUGGGUUCUCGGUUGUAACAGUCGAGAUACCAUAAAAACACAUUCCUCUGCAUGUUCAACACAGCCAAAAGCAUUAGCCAAUCUGCCGGUCUUUUUUAGUAGCCUGAUGGAUUGCAGCGCCGGGGAUUUGAUCCCCCCCCUCCCCGCCCCGUAAAACCGUAUGGGGGAUCUUUUAUCUCACUGGGUUUUCUGCGCUAAAUGGAACUUUGAAAACCAAAAAAGUUAAAAUUGUAUGAUCUGCAAACUGACUUGCAUGGUUUAAACUGCAACUGCCAGUAUAGCUGUAGCAUACAAUGUAGAUUUGAUUUCCCCCUUCCCCUGCAAAGGUAAAACCGUUUGGGGGGAUCUUUUAUCUCACUGAUUUUUCUGUGCUAAAUGAAACCGUAUAAAAAAAAAAAGUUAAAUUUUUAUGAUUUGCAAACUGGCUUGCAUGGUUUAAACUGCAACUGCCUGUAUAGCUGUAGCAUACAAUUUAGGAGAUGUCCUUAACCAGAUACGUAUUUGUUCUAAUGCUUUAAAAAGAGAGGCAACUGAAUAUAACGUUGGGUUUUUUUCCUGCUAUUUAGACGGUGUGCUCUGAAGCACUUUAUUUCUGUCUGGCUUUCAGUGGCCUGUUUCCUCAGCAGUCCAGUAGCAUCUCUCCUGGGCAGUGCAGCUGGCCAGACGUCCCUCCUCCUUGUGUAGCACACAAAAAACCUAUAGUCAAAUUAUAGCUAUGUAUUUUGGAGAGAGAUAAUGUAAUGGUAUCAAUUCAUAGCUGUGCGAGCAAAAUUAGUGCCAGAGGAAAGUCAAAUACUUCUACAGUACAAUUAUUUUUAAUGAGUGUAUGUAAAUGUAGGCACACCUUUUCAGCAUAACAUGAAUGACCGAGCUUUGUUCUUUAUUGUUCCUUUUGCUGUUCACAGUUUACCCUUCCUUCUCGGCUGCAUUGACCCAGCGAGCGAGGUGGGCAGCGGCAGCGUGAGGGCUGUACCUGCGGCGGUGGGUCUGUCAGCAUCGAUUCUGGUGUUACAGCGCAGCCUGCUCCUGCCACCCUGCUGGGUGAUCUCCCUGCAGCUGCACUGGGAGGAAGGGGCCAGGCGUUUCCCAGCGCCGGCCAGAGUGUUCGCCCUUACGCUAAGAACGUAAUGGCAUCCUGGCUUUUGCAGGUUGUGCCGUGUUUGGAGCUGAGCUGUUUUCCCCAGAAUCCUCCUGUAGCUCAGCUCCUGUCCCAUCCCUCGGCCUGACGGAAUUCCUCAAGUCCCUUCCGGGUUAUUUUUUAAAAUGCUGAGCUAUAAUUGGGGAUUUUUGUUUUCCAGGUGCCUCGUCGUAGGCGUCUCCUGCUACUCGAGAGAUGCCCCAGCCCAGGUUUGCAGCCGGUGGCAGAGCCUACCUGAGGGGAAGGGGCCAGCCCUGGGUCUGGGUGUUUUGGGCAUUUUUUUUGGGUGAAUAGAAGGACGUCUGUGUGUCUCAGGGUUGCGAUGAUGUCAUUUGGGGUACCUCGAUGUCAUUGGGACAGCAAUGAUGCAGCGGAGGAGCAGGUGAGUGGGGAACGUGGGGUUACGUGAGGGUGUCCCAAAAGAGGUGGUUCACAGCCCCAAAAAGUCUGAAAAUCUUGGGAUGCCUUAAAAAAUGUGAAAACCUGUAACUAUGGGCGUGAGGCAUUGAAAUAGAGAACAGUCUGUCAUUUAUAUAUGAGAAAUAUAUAUUUUGAGAAAUAAUAUUAUGUAUGUAAAAUAAGUUCAAAAUAAAAACCUCUAUGUCUAAGGA